CUGGGGAGCACGGUCGCAAGAUUAAAACUCAAAGGAAUUGACGGGGACCCGCACAAGCGGUGGAUGAUGUGGAUUAAUUCGAUGCAACGCGAAAAACCUUACCUACCCUUGACAUGUCUGGAAUGCCGAAGAGAUUUGGCAGUGCUCGCAAGAGAACCGGAACACAGGUGCUGCAUGGCUGUCGUCAGCUCGUGUCGUGAGAUGUUGGGUUAAGUCCCGCAACGAGCGCAACCCUUGUCAUUAGUUGCUACGCAAGAGCACUCUAAUGAGACUGCCGGUGACAAACCGGAGGAAGGUGGGGAUGACGUCAAGUCCUCAUGGCCCUUAUGGGUAGGGCUUCACACGUCAUACAAUGGUCGGGACAGAGGGUCGCCAACCCGCGAGGGGGAGCCAAUCUCAGAAACCCGAUCGUAGUCCGGAUCGCAGUCUGCAACUCGACUGCGUGAAGUCGGAAUCGCUAGUAAUCGCGGAUCAGAAUGUCGCGGUGAAUACGUUCCCGGGUCUUGUACACACCGCCCGUCACACCAUGGGAGUGGGUUUCACCAGAAGUAGGUAGCCUAACCGUAAGGAGGGCGCUUACCACGGUGGGAUUCAUGACUGGGGUGAAGUCGUAAC
rnacentral:rRNA from 1 species